GACGAACGCUGGCGGCGUGCUUAACACAUGCAAGUCGAACGGAAAGGCCCUGCUUUUGUGGGGUGCUCGAGUGGCGAACGGGUGAGUAACACGGGAGUAACCUGCCCUGGACUUUGGGAUAACUUCAGGAAACUGGGGCUAAUACCGGAUAGGAGCUCCUGCUGCAUGGUGGGGGUUGGAAAGUUUCGGCGGUUGGGGAUGGACUCGCGGCUUAUCAGCUUGUUGGUGGGGUAGUGGCUUACCAAGGCUUUGACGGGUAGCCGGCCUGAGAGGGUGACCGGUCACAUUGGGACUGAGAUACGGCCCAGACUCCUACGGGAGGCAGCAGUGGGGAAUAUUGCACAAUGGGCGGAAGCCUGAUGCAGCAACGCCGCGUGCGGGAUGACGGCCUUCGGGUUGUAAACCGCUUUCGCCUGUGACGAAGCGUGAGUGACGGUAAUGGGUAAAGAAGCACCGGCUAACUACGUG
rnacentral:rRNA from 1 species